GGAGUAGUGGCGAAACUUGGUUGAAACACGCUAGAUUUAGGAUCUAGCACCGAAAGGUGUGUGAGUUCGAGUCUCACCUGCUCUA
rnacentral:tRNA from 1 species